UGAACGCUAGCGAUAGGCUUAACACAUGCAAGUCGAGGGGCAGCAUGAUCUUAGCUUGCUAAGGUCGAUGGCGACCGGCGCACGGGUGCGUAACGCGUAUGCAACUUGCCUUACAGAGGGGGAUAACCCGUUGAAAGACGGACUAAAACCGCAUACACUUGUAUUAUUGCAUGAUAUUACAAGGAAAUAUUUAUAGCUGUAAGAUAGGCAUGCGUCCCAUUAGCUGGUUGGUGAGGUAACGGCUCACCAAGGCGACGAUGGGUAGGGGAACUGAGAGGUUUAUCCCCCACACUGGUACUGAGACACGGACCAGACUCCUACGGGAGGCAGCAGUGAGGAAUAUUGGUCAAUGGGCGAGAGCCUGAACCAGCCAAGUCGCGUGAAGGAAGACAGUCCUAAGGAUUGUAAACUUCUUUUAUACGGGAAUAACGGGCGAUACGAGUAUUGCAGGGAAUGUACCGUAA
rnacentral:rRNA from 1 species